AUAACUUUUAAAUAUAUUUUUUUCUCAACCUCUAUCCAUCUUUUCCCUUGUUUCUCCCCGACCCUUCCCUUUUCCUCCGCAAACCCGACUAUCCGGACAACUCUGGCCCCUCGCUGCCCCUACCGACCCCCAAAAAGACUCUCAGUAGCCGUCCGGACCGUAUCCGACCUAGAUCUAGCCCCACACCGCCCCCUCUCCAUUCGUUCCAAACCACCCUCACCCUCAUUUCCUAGCGCGCCGCUUGACCCCCUUGCGGCUUGACCAGAUCCAACAAGACGUCCCUGCAUCCCCCCACCCCACGCACGUGCCCCCACUGUUUCCCCACGAGAUCCGCGCGUCCCCUGUCCUGUGCAUUCACGCUCCUUCCGCGCAAGCCCCUGAAUAGAUGGAGAUUCAUCACAGCAAAAGCUUCCUCAAAUGGUCGUCAACAGUUAAUCAGCCUUCUUUUAAAUGCUUUUUUGGAUGACAAUUGACGGAUGGGAGUUUUGGUUCAAUCGAGAAUAAUUCAUAACCUGAAAGGAAGCCAAAGCCAAUCCCUCCUCCUCGAAAAGAUCCUCCACCUAGACCUACUUACUCAACUCUUCCACAAAGUUUUCAGGGCAAUCCAUAGCCAAGUGAAAAUCUUGCAUAAUCUUCCAUUUACCGUAUCUUAUUGAGGAUUUUAAAGCUCUUGGACCAGUAAGGCUAUAAUCAAGAUUGGAGGCACUAUUGCUAGGGAAAGGAUCUCUAAGAAAUGGGGAUUCUCCACAAUUCCAUUCUACAAAGAUGAUUGAGUUUGGCAUGGUAAUGGGAUCAAAUAGAGUGGAUCCAGGAUUGAUAUUCACUUGAACUGGUGAUGGCCUAAUGGAGGUACCAGCAUAUUGUUGAUGAGUGACUAGUGGUGCUUGAGUAACAUACGAAUAAAGAUAUGUAAACCUAGCAUACAUUGGUUCUUCCAUUAUGGUUUCUUCCCUCAUUUCAUGCAUUUCAACAAUGCCAUUUCCUUUAACCAGAUAAGCCAACAUCUGUUUCAACUCUUCUAUUUAUUUGUCCAUUUUCUAUUAAAUUCUACAAAUUGUCUCUCUAAUCUCUUUUUAGGCCCUUUUCAUUUUGUCUAUUUGACUGACAUGUUCAUUUUUCACGGCUCUUGUACAAGCUUGAGUGUUGUAAGUGCACAAAACCAACUGAUCUUGUUUCUUGAGACGUGUUAUCCUUGAACCUGUUAUUGAUUCCUAAAAGUCAGAAACACAUAAUAUGAAUUAUAUUAUUGGCCUUAAGAGAUAGUUCUUAUAUUUAAAUAAGACCUUUAAUAAUAACUCUUUGCUUCGAAUUUUUGAGGAAAGUAUACUUACAAUCACCAUGCCUUAUCCUUUGCUAGGAUGAAAAACAAUGAAUUCAGACAAAUGAUGUAUGUUACGCUAGUUAGUUUCAUUAUUAUUGUUGAAAAGAUGUAAGAAGAUGCUUAAAUUUCUUCCUAUAUUUAGGCAAGGUUAUUUAAAGGCAUUCUCUCCUUUUCAAAAAAAUUUGAGGAAAGCAUAUUUACAAUUAUCAUUCAUUUCUGAUUGGCACCUUUAAGCAUACUUUUAAAUAUGAGCAGGGAUACUCAUUUCAAGCUACUUUAAAUCAAUAGAAGUUUUCAUUCAUUCUAACAAUUUUAAGUUUUAUACAUCAUGAACUGUCUUAUAACUAGGGCCAUAAAAAUGCUAAACUUGCUUGUGCUAUCCUUUUGCUUCCUUCAAAAAAAUCUAACAGAAGCUAAUUAUGACUCCUAGUAGGGAUGGCUUUUGCCUUAAAGCUUUCGCCUUUUCCAUCAUCACCUCACCCUACCUGACUGCCUUUCGAAUUUGAGUACUAAGGAGGUCAAUAUACAAUUGUUCCCCUGAUUUUUAGUUUUCCAAUGCUUGCGGGCUUCGAUUUCUUAGUUGCAAACUCAUUUCCAUUCAAGUUUCCUUUCUUGCUAUUCUCAAUGUAGGUGAGCAAUGUAAUCCUUAUUUUCCUAUAACUGCAUCUUAUCGCCUUGAUUUCUAUUCCAAGUCUAUCUUUUUCCCAUUAAGUAUCUAGGCACCUCUUUUUUUCACAUCUCAACUCUUCUUUCAUUUUUUCAUUCUCUUCUUGGUUCUUACUUAAUUCCCUUUUGUUUGCUGCGAGGACUUUGUGUGAAUCUUUCUUUUCUCGAACUAUCACAGUGAUUUUGUCCUUAUUAUCCCAAGCCUUAUGCCUCCAAAAACAAACUUCUUCCCGAAGCUAUUCUAUAUUAUCCUAGCACUUACUUUCUUUUACCUUCCUUUAAUUAAGCCCUUAGCUUUUGGUUUUCCAAGUGUAACUUUUUGAAGUCAUUCUGAGCCAAAUCUCUUUCUUUUGUUAUCUUUUCUAACAUAUCCUUUUGCAUUCCUACCUUAUACUUUAGCUAACCUAUUUCCUCUUAUAGUCUUUAAUUUUCUUUCUUCAACUUUUCCUUUUUGGCCUAGAACUCCCUUUUAACAAUCUCUAAUUUUGACAAUGGUGGCUUAGCCUAUGGGUUUACUAGCUGUACUAUCUCUUGAUCUGUUGGCAGCACCAAAUCAUUGAUUAGCUUAGCUUUCCAAACUUGGUAUCUUAGAGUCACAUCAUUUGUAUUUUCUCCCAAUUCUAACCUAAAUGUAUGCCUCCAAGCUUUGCAUGACUUUAGCCAUGCAGCCCUCUGUGCCCUAGUCAAACUCUACCUAAUUCAAUCCUUGAAUCAUUGGAAUAAAUUGCUGGGACCUAUAUUGUCAUCUAAUUAUCAAUGACGCAUAAUUGAUGGCUAUUUAAAUAUCAGGCAAUGGAACCCAAGAUUGAUCUCUACAACUGUAUAGAAUAGAAACUUGAGGCAUCCAUGGUGCUUUCCAAGUCACCCCAUUUCUUUCUAAGCAUCGAAAGAAAAUCAUUCACUGUUUCUUUGAAAAAUUCCUAGGCUAUUAUUUUGCUUUGAACUUGAUUAUUGGUGCUAAGGAUUUCAUAUAAAUCAACAACGGAGCUCAAUCAAUACUUCAAAAACAGCUUUGAAUCCAAACAUACAAUAGCUAAAUACAACAUAUCAUUCUUUCUUCUCAUUUCCUUUGGCAAUAGUUCAAGGAUCUAAUGGUUUCCUCCAAAAUUGUCAAUUAAGGGUUAAUCUUUUGUUCAUACUGCACAAAGAAAUCCACCACAAAGGCCUCUAUAUAUCCUAGGGCUCUUGAAAAAAAUCACCAAACCAUAAAUAGCCAAAGCAAACAUAUCCAUAAUUGGAUUUUGAUCCGAACUCUGAAGCAUGACAUCUAGUAAUAAAGUCCAUGAUACCUUUUCACCAUACCCUUUUUUCUUCUCAAUCAUUUGAACUUAAUCCCUUAUUAUCUUUAACAACUUUUUCUUAUACCCAGCCAACUUCUAUGCUUUCCAAUAUACUCUAUCAGGCUUGAGGAGCUCUAAGCUUAACAUGGUAGAGUUUUCUUCUAUGGUAAGUGUCAUGUCUUCUUUAUUGAACGUGAAGCACCAGUAUGCUGGAUUCCAAAACCUUAUAACGGCUUUAAGCAUUUGAUCACUAGGUUUUAAUAGUACCAAAAGAGCAAUAUCUCCAUACUUUAUUGUGAAGGUUGACUUUCUUUUCGGACUCUAAUGAUUCCAAAUACUUUCUAAAUCUAUCAUGUCAUUUCUUUUUAAAUCCAAAUAUACCAACUUUGGCAAUUUCAAGACAUACCCAUCUAUCAAACAAUCCCUCUUUAUCUGUUGCAUGUUUUCUAACUAAUCCUUCGCUUCCUAAAAUGUCUUGCUUGUUGAAGACCCUACUUGAAACUCUUGAGAUACCAUGAGAGCCUUUAUCGACAAAUUAUCUAAAACAUAUAUCCCUGGUGUUUUAUUUUAAAGAAUGGUUCAUGUAGCAAACAAACAAAGAAAACAUGAAAAACAUUAAAAACAUU